UACGUAGGGGGCGAGCGUUAAUCGGAAUUACUGGGCGUAAAGUGUGCGCAGGCGGCCAUGCAAGUCGAGUGUGAAAGCCCCGGGCUUAACUUGGGAAUUGCGCUCGAAACUACGUGGCUAGAGUGUGGCAGAGGAAGGUGGAAUUCCACGUGUAGCGGUGAAAUGCGUAGAGAUGUGGAGGAACACCGAUGGCGAAGGCAGCCUUCUGGGACAACACUGACGCUCAUGCACGAAAGCGUGGGGAGCAAACAGG
rnacentral:rRNA from 1 species